rnacentral:rRNA from 1 species
CUGGCUCAGGAUGAACGCUAGCUACAGGCUUAACACAUGCAAGUCGAGGGGCAGCAUUGGGGUAGCAAUACUCAGAUGGCGACCGGCGCACGGGUGAGUAACACGUAUCCAACCUGCCGCUUACUCGGGGAUAGCCUUUCGAAAGAAAGAUUAAUACCCGAUGGUAUAAAGAGUUCGCAUGUUCUCUUUAUUAAAGAAUUUCGGUAAGCGAUGGGGAUGCGUUCCAUUAGAUAGUUGGCGGGGUAACGGCCCACCAAGUCUACGAUGGAUAGGGGUUCUGAGAGGAAGGUCCCCCCACAUUGGAACUGAGACACGGUCCAAACUCCUACGGGAGGCAGCAGUGAGGAAUAUUGGUCAAUGGACGAGAGUCUGAACCAGCCAAGUAGCGUGAAGGAUGACUGCCCUAUGGGUUGUAAACUUCUUUUAUAAGGGAAUAAAGUGAGGGACGUGUCCCUUUUUGUAUGUACCUUAUGAAUAAGGAUCGGCUAACUCCGUGCCAGCAGCUGC